AUCGCCUUCCGAACAUCUAAACAUGGAAGGUCCCGCCUGCCCUGUGAUCAUGAAUUUAACGGCCGCGGUAUUUUGACCGUGCAAAGGUAGCGCAAUCACUUGUCUUUUAAAUGAAGACCUGUAUGAAUGGCAUAACGAGGGCUUGACUGUCUCCCCCUCCCAGUCAGUGAAAUUGAUUUUUCCGUGCAGAAGCGGGAAUAGAACCAUAAGACGAGAAGACCCUGUGGAGCUUGAGACAAUAAAUGGAACUUGUAAAGGAUGGCUUUUCCCCCAAUAAAACAAUAAGUGUCCCAUUUUGCUGUCUUUGGUUGGGGCGACCGCGGGGUAACACAGAACCCCCACGUGGAUACAUGGACAUCCUUCUUUGAAAUAAGAGCGGCAGCUCAAAGCAACAGAACAUCUGACCUAAAUUGACCCGGCACACUUGCCGAUUAACGAAACCAGUUACCCCAGGGAUAACAGCGCAAUCCUCUCCCAGAGCCCAUAUCGACGAGAGGGUUUACGACCUCGAUGUUGGAUCAGGACAUCCUAAUGGUGCAGCCGCUAUUAAGGGUUCGUUUGUUCAACGAUUAAAGUCCUACGUGAU
rnacentral:rRNA from 1 species